GAAGAUAUCCAAGAUCUUCAUUUUUAGGACAGUGGCACUGGGGAAAUGAUGAAUCAAGAGGUCCUUGACCUUUUUGUUCCUGAUGCUUGGCAGCUGUGUCACUGGAAGUCGUCCUCCUCCAGAUUAUGUCCUUCUGGACUCAAAAGGAAGAGCCACAUCUCUUCUGGGGGGGAAUCCAAAAAGCCAGCUUGGCAGAUUAUGUGCAUUACGUCCACUUAACCAUGACUCCAUAACUGUCCCCUUGAAACCCAAACCAAUUUCUCAGACAGUGGAAAAAUUAAUUAUUUCUUUUUUUGAUCUGGUUAGUUGGUUGGUUGCUCAACCAUUUUGCUGGCAUUCUCCAUUCUAUUUUAUUUGAAGCAGAGGCCAGAAAUUGAUGGAUGCACUUUCAGUGAGGAAAAGAUGGAGAGCACAGAGCUGGAUUUGGGCUUGCAAACAAACUUCUUUAUGUUCGCCUGUGUUUUGUCCUUUUGCAGAGAUGACUUCUGAAAAAAAAAAGACAUUUAUUAGACAUGAGUCAAAUUUGAGGCAAUGGGAAAUCAUAGAAUCACACACCACCUCUCUGGUCUGCCUGUUCUAAUGCACCAUCACCCUUUCUGAGAAGUUUUUUUCUAAUAUUCAACCUGAACCUGAGAGGAAGAAUGUCUGCAAUAAGAGAUCCAGAUGCACUGAAUUAAUCAUUCAACUAUGGGAAACAAAUUUAAACCAGAGAACUGAGGACUUCUCUCAUAACCCAGAUCUUUGGUCACAGUGCAGUUUCUACCUAUCUAUAUAGAACCUGAAGGAUCAACUGAAGGUCAAUUUUUCUCCUGCUGUCCUCAGUGGAAAGGAGAUCAAUGCAGGGAAUGAGCAGAGCUGUGCUCAGUGUAGACAAUCAGUUACUUCAAUAACACAGCCUCAACAUUCCUUCCAUGUUUCUAGGUUUUGGGAUACAGGAUGCUGUAGGGACAGCAUGCUUAACUGUUGAUAAAUUCUCCAGAGCUGGUUUGAGUGGCUGAUGCACUUGCACAGAGAUAUAAAACUGCCUGGGAUCAAAUGCCUUAUGUGUCUCAGCACACACAUCAAAAUUUGAGAGACUUAGCAGAGCAUACCAGAGUCCUUGUACAUGACACUGGAGGCAGUGAAGUCAGCCAGCCUUGCUUAUUAACUACAGUAAGGACUUCAGUUUACUAGGCCAGUUCUUAGUGCUUUAUGAAACUCCUGUUUUGGGGAUACAAUGAUUACAAGGCAGUGGAAGGCUGUGAUUCAGGUUUGAACACUGAUGUCUUUUGGGGAUAGACACAAAGAUAGUAGGAGGCUUUUUUGGUAACUCUCUUCCUAAGAGUUAUUUUAGUACAGUUUUGGCUGUUUUUAUUACUGUGGUUAAAUGUACUUACUUUUCUUCUUUAGAAAUAUGUGAUGUCAGGUAUCUGAAAAAUGGUAUUAUCCAAAAUAAUUGGAAAAGCUAUUACAGAGGUGAAAGAGCUAAAUAUUUCUGCAAUACAAAUUACCGUACUGACAAUGAGGAUGGUGAAAUUAUGUGCACAGAGAGUGGCUGGUCACCUACUCCAAGAUGUAUCCAUAAAGACUAUGUCACAUUUCAAAGAGAAUUCAUUCACGUGCUGGAGCAGUUUGCAGUAAGGGACCGUCUACACGCGAGACAAACUGCCUCUUGUGUAGUGUUUCCUCCUGCAGUGUGGUAUCCCUCAUCCCAUUUAUACAGCAGCACUUCAUUCACUCGGAGCUCUCGCUGGGUUGUGAAGUAGUUGCCAUGAUGUAACUCAGGUACUUAGCAUGACUUAAAUCAAUAAUAUUGUUGGUUUCCCUUUUUCCUUUAAGCUUACUUAUCUAACAUUUCCCUUUAAAGUGAUUGUAUCUGAAGCAGUCUUUGAAAACUAUGAACAAUUAAAAAUGCAACAGUUUACAUAGGUUUUCUAGUGUUCAUUUGGGUGCAAAGCUUGAAUAGAAAUGAGUUAAUUUGAAACAAAAUUAUCUCACCUGUACUGACUCCACAGUUUUAUCUAUACCAAUUCACAAAACAACAGCAUGAAACAUCUGACAACUUCAUCGCAUGAGGUACAGCAGAGGACUUAUUUCAGGAAUAUUCAAAUAGCCUAACAAAGGCAUUUUGACCUUACAGGUACGGGAAGGACAGCGGAAUUUUAUGAACAUAUAUGAAAUGAGAAGGAAAGAAACAAUCCUACCAACUUUCUUAGUACAGGUUGUUUGGGAAGACCAUCCACCUAAUUGACAUUGUACUGUAUCUUCAGUACCACCUCUGGGAGCUCGGCAGCCUUGAUUACAUUUGUGCUGUAGUUUCUCGUGUAUUUUGAAGUACGUUUCUGUACUGUAAAAAAUGCCAUGUUCCAGAAGAGGCUGAUUGCAUUUUUCUAAAUGAAAAGAGACAGUUUGGUUAGGAAGAAAUAAUUGAUGUAGUAUUUUUCCUGAUAGGCAAGAAAGUGGGGUUUUUAAAUUAUUUCCAUCCAAUUUCAUUUUCUUGUUUUAUUGAAAUGCUCCCGCAAUCAUUGAGCAGACGGUAGUACCAUGGAAUAUGUCUCUGGAGCUAAAGAGGCUCAGAUGCACAUCUGUAACUAAAAUGUCAAUUAUUUUUCCCAAGUUCAGUUACACUGGGCAGCUUUCUUGGAAUUCUUAAAGAGCGUAUGUGGUAAGAGUCCUUAGAACAUAUACUAGCAUAAAACAAUUCGAUGUAUGAAUAAACAUAAUGGAUUUCA